UACGUAGGGUGCGAGCGUUGUCCGGAUUUAUUGGGCGUAAAGGGCUCGUAGGCGGCGUGUCGCGUCGGGGAGUGAAAGCCCGCUGCUUAACGGCGGGUUGGCUUCCGGUACGGGCAUCGCUGGAGUGCGGCAGGGGAGACUGGAAUUCCUGGUGUAGCGGUGGAAUGCGCAGAUAUCAGGAGGAACACCGGUGGCGAAGGCGGGUCUCUGGGCCGAGUACUGACGCUGAGGAGCGAAAGCGUGGGGAGCGAACAGGAUUAGAACUACGUAGUCA
rnacentral:rRNA from 1 species